rnacentral:rRNA from 1 species
AUUGAACGCUGGCGGCAGGCUUAACACAUGCAAGUCGAACGAGUGGCGGACGGGUGAGUAAUGCUUGGGAACCUAGCUUAUGGAGGGGGAUAACUACGGGAAACUGUAGCUAAUACCGCGUACCAUAGGAUGAGCCCAAGUGGGAUUAGGGAGUUGGUGAGGUAAAGGCUCACCAAGCCGACGAUCUCUAGCUGGUCUGAGAGGGUGACCAGCCACACUGGGACUGAGACACGGCCCAGACUCCUACGGGAGGCAGCAGUAGGGAAUAUUGCGAAAUGGGGGCAACCUGACGCAGCCAUGCCGCGUGAAUGAAGAAGGCCUUCGGGUUGUAAAGUUCUUUCGGUAGAGAGGCGUUAACUACAGAGGAAGCACCGGCUAACUCCGUGCCAGCAGCCGCGGUAAUUC